AUUGAACGCUGGCGGCAUGCUUUACACAUGCAAGUCGAACGGUAACAGGUUAAGCCGACGAGUGGCGAACGGGUGAGUAAUGCAUCGGAACGUGGCCGGUCGUGGGGGAUAACACUUCGAAAGAAGUGCUAAUACCGCAUACGAUCUGAGGAUGAAAGCGGGUGCCCGUAAGGCCUCGCGCGAUCGGAACGGCUGAUGUCAGAUUAGGUAGUUGGUGGGGUAAAGGCCUACCAAGCCGACGAUCUGUAGCUGGCCUGAGAGGACGACCAGCCACACUGGGACUGAGACACGGCCCAGACUCCUACGGGAGGCAGCAGUGGGGAAUUUUGGACAAUGGGCGCAAGCCUGAUCCAGCAAUGCCGCGUGCAGGAAGAAGGCCUUCGGGUUGUAAACUGCUUUUGUACGGAGCGAAAAGGCUCUCUCUAAUACAGGGGGCUGAUGACGGUACCGUAAGAAUAAGCACCGGCUAACUACGUGCCAGCCGCCGCCGUAA
rnacentral:rRNA from 1 species